rnacentral:rRNA from 1 species
UCGAACGGUAACAGGAAGCAGCUUGCUGCUUCGCUGACGAGUGGCGGACGGGUGAGUAAUGUCUGGGAAACUGCCUGAUGGAGGGGGAUAACUACUGGAAACGGUAGCUAAUACCGCAUAACGUCGCAAGACCAAAGAGGGGGACCUUCGGGCCUCUUGCCAUCGGAUGUGCCCAGAUGGGAUUAGCUAGUAGGUGGGGUAACGGCUCACCUAGGCGACGAUCCCUAGCUGGUCUGAGAGGAUGACCAGCCACACUGGAACUGAGACACGGUCCAGACUCCUACGGGAGGCAGCAGUGGGGAAUAUUGCACAAUGGGCGCAAGCCUGAUGCAGCCAUGCCGCGUGUAUGAAGAAGGCCUUCGGGUUGUAAAGUACUUUCAGCGGGGAGGAAGGCGACAGGGUUAAUAACCCUGUCGAUUGACGUUACCCGCAGAAGAAGCACCGGCUAACUCCGUGCCAGCAGCCGCGGUAAUACGGAGGGUGCAAGCGUUAAUCGGAAUUACUGGGCGUAAAGCGCACGCAGGCGGUCUGUCAAGUCGGAUGUGAAAUCCCCGGGCUCAACCUGGGAACUGCAUUCGAAACUGGCAGGCUAGAGUCUUGUAGAGGGGGGUAGAUAUUCCAGGUGUAGCGGUGAAUGCGUAGAGAUCUGGAGGAAUACCGGUGGCGAAGG